rnacentral:rRNA from 1 species
AUGUUUUAUUUACCUGGUCCCGUGCUUAUCACGAUGGAGUUCUUCUCGUCGAGCACCCAGUCGAUCCAAACCGCGAAGCCGUGGCAAGUGCCAGCAUCGGCAAACUCGAUCUACGAGCCCGCAUAUAUAAUACAUCAGCCAGAAAACUAUGUGCAUAUCAAGGCACACAAUUCAGUCAGGAGACUGCACGCAUACUGUAGCCACCAGAUGGGCUCUUUUACAUCGUGUAUCUUAGUGUGCAUGAGAGGCCGAGGAAUGAAUGAUACCCGGGUUUCCUAUGAAUUGCAUUUAUAUAAACUAAGAAAGGUCAAGGCAGAACAAAAUCGCUCCCAACAAACACCUAGCAAACAACUUUACGCUAGUAUCAUCUAA